rnacentral:rRNA from 1 species
CUACGUGCCAGCAGCCGCGGUAAUACGUAGGGUGCGAGCGUUAAUCGGAAUUACUGGGCGUAAAGCGGGCGCAGACGGUUACUUAAGCAGGAUGUGAAAUCCCCGGGCUCGACCUGGGAACUGCGUUCUGAACUGGGUGACUAGAGUGUGUCAGAGGGAGGUAGAAUUCCACGUGUAGCAGUGAAAUGCGUAGAGAUGUGGAGGAAUACCGAUGGCGAAGGCAGCCUCCUGGGAUAACACUGACGUUCAUGCCCGAAAGCGUGGGUAGCAAACAGGAUUAGAUACCCUGGUAGUCCACGCCGUAAACGAUGUCGAUUUGGAGGUUGUGCCCUUGAGGCGUGGCUUCCGGAGCUAACGCGUUAAAUCGACCGCCUGGGGAGUACGGCCGCAAGGUUAAAACUCAAAUGAAUUGACGGGGGCCCGCACAAGCGGUGGAGCAUGUGGUUUAAUUCGAUGCAACGCGAAGAACCUUACCUACUCUUGAC